UAAACGGAAGCUGGAGUUUGUGGCUCCUGAAGCAAAGCGAUCUCGCUCCCAGUCUCCUGGUGUCUCUGCCGACUUCACUCUUCCUCCAUUUAACCCCAACAGUCCUCUGGGUCAGGAUUUUGUGGUCCCUAAAUCGGGAUUCUUCUGUAAUUUGUGCUCCGUUUUCUACUUGAACGAGAGCACCGCUAAAGAAUUUCACUGCAGCAGCCAGAGACACUACGACAACCUGCAGAAACAUUACCAGAAGCUCAGAAGGAAGACUUCCAGUUCGUUGAAGCCAAAUUCCCAAGGCACCGUUUCCAAAUGAUCGUGAACUGAAACAGAAAUGAGUAUUUUAUGAAACGUUAAACCACGGAGUUGGGGACAUGUUUGCGUAAAUGACGAUUUGUAUAAAAAAACACGACUCGUAGUGUUCACAUUAUCUGUUAAUCAGAUCUCAUGUUUCAGCAUGCAUCAUUUCUUUUAUUCCUUCAGUUUUUGUGCCCUCUCUGAAUUUACUCGUGUGGUUGUGUUGCUCCAGUUGAGUCAUGGAAAGAGGUUUUUGGAUAUCAUGAGUUAAACAUGCAGUGAUAAAUAUUUUGCUUCAGGCUGAAGUCGAACCCAAAGCUUAAAAAAAACCCAGAAGUAACAG